AGUAAGGGAAUGACCAUUUUAUUUUGUGAAAUAAAACAUUCUUUACUUGUCUUUUCGCAAUAAUUCAAAAGUAAAUACUGUGUUUUAUUUACAUAGGUUCCUUAUACCAUACACCAAAGCAAAAAUAAAAAUAGUUUCAUAGUAUUUCAACUAAAACAAAAUACACAGUGUGUGUCAUUAGGUAUUUCAUUUUUGAAAGAAAAAAUGAACAGGUUACCUUGCAUGAUAUGAACAUAUGUUAUAACAUACAUGGUUUUUUGUUUGUUUGUUUAUUUUGUUUUUUGGUACCAGGGAUCGAACCCAGGGUUGCUUAACCACUGAGUCACAUCUCCAACCCUUUUUAUUUUGGGACAAGGUCUAACUAAGUUGCUGAAGCUGAUUUUGAACAUGUGAUCCUCCUGCCUAAACCUCCCCAGCUGUUAGGAUUACAGGCCUGCACAACCAUGCCCGGCAACAGCAUGUUCUUAACAGCAUGUCAAGAAACAACAUACUUGACCAUAGAUGUGUACCCUAAUUGAGACUGGAGAAAACUCAGCCUUUAAAGGAAGUCCAAGUCACAUGGGAAACUGAACAACAUCACUCUCUCCAGUCCUCUGAGGGUGGGCCUGCAGUAGUACAAGGUGUGGCAACUUGUCUUUUACCUUAAAAGGGAUAUCUCAACAUGCACGGAACCAUUGAACUUCCUGGAACUGCACUGAAGUGCUGGGCUCUUAAAGUUUUGCACAAUUUAUCCUCUACCACUUGGCCCACAAGAGUCUUACUACAGCAUCUAAAGUACUUUCUAAUAUAUCCUUAGUAGAUAUAAUCAGCACAAUGCUAUGAAAGUCAUGACAAGUAUAAUGUUUUGAGGGAUGUUAGGAUGAUCAAUUUCUUUUUAAAUCUAAAUUAAAUUUUAACUGAUACAUUAAAAACACAAAAUUGUACAUAUUAUUGGGGUACCUGUGAUGUUAAAAUGACCAGGUUCCUAAUGGGCUACCUUAUAGCAGAGCGUUAUAUUUAAGGUAAUGGAGGCAUAUUGCUGACCCUGCUAGGCAAAAGCAAACCUCUCUUGUAGUCUUUUCAAACUGUAUUGUUCUGUAGUUUACUGUUUACAUUCUGCCUAUCCCAAGAAGCUGUGAGUUGCUGAAGGAUAGACAUUAUGUUUUAUUUACUUUUAUUUCCAUAAUCUACAUGUCUAGACCUACAUAGAAGGGGCACUACAAAUGGUGGUAAAAUGAAUGAUAAGUAACUCAUACCACAAAUGAGAAAAAAAAAAUGAAUUAAGGCACAAGCCAGUCAAUUUGGGGCACAGGUAAAGAGUGAGAAAAGAUUCAUAGAUGGGCUUCAAGCAGUCUUUGUACCUUCUGGGUACAAUGUAAAUGUGUGUGUGUGUGUGUGUGUGUAUGUGUGUUCAUGCAUGUGUAUAUACACAUGUGGGUACACACUGUUGCAGAACUCCUCUUUCUCUGAUGAUAGAGCCUAGUUUGGGAAUCUUUAGAUAUCUUUGGUUCCUAGGGAAGGCAGAUCAUUACCAUAACCCCAAAGAUUUAUGAUUGGCCCAAAUCAAUUCAAGUCCAUCCUAUUCAGCAAAUGAUCAAAUGAUAGACAGGGAGUGUGACCCACAUUGAUUGCAUCUCAGUCUGUUCUGGAUUAUAAGGGGAGGUGAACACAACUGUUCUCUAAAUUAUAAAGACAGAACCUUGUGAAGAUAAGUUCUUUCACUCCUUUCUUCCUCUACUGGACAUCUUUGGUUAUGACAACAUGUUUGGAGCUUUGGAAGUCACAAGACAUCCCACACCUUGAGCAUGGCAGAACAGGAGCCUGGGUUCUGGAUAAAAAUAUCACUGCACCCCACAGGAAACCUACCUCCAGAACAUUUUCAUAUGGGACUACAUUUCUUUAUUCUUUUGCUCAAUCACAAGAUGGAUAUUUUGUUUCUUACAUGAAAAAUAUUUUUAAUGGAUUUUUUUUGGGAAAAAGACAUAAUGCUUUCUUAAUCAGUCUUAAAAGAUUGUGACAUAUAAACUAUUAAUACCAUAUAUAAAUAUAUAUAAAUGAAAUGAAAUUCCAACUUGGACUAGGGGUUUUUCCUCAGUGGUUGAGCACUUUCCCGGAAUAUGUAAGGUCCUGGGUUUGAUCCUUAGUGCCACAAACACCAAACCCUUAAAAAAAAAAAAAAAAGACACUUACCUUG